AAUUACUGUACAAAUCUCGGGUUGUUAGGUGUUAGAAUCCCUAGUUACCCGAAAAAUUUGAUUGGAUCCGAUACUUAGAAAUAACCAAUCAGAUACUUUGUAACAAAUGCAACACAAUCAGUGCGUUCAGUAAGUAUAACGUUUCAAGAUGGCGGAGCGAAUUGCAUGGUUAUUGUUUCUACUCGAUGGAUUCGCAGAUAAUUCGGAAAUAGAUCAGAUUGGGAUCAAUAACUGUAUUGCAUACGAUCAUUUACAUGUAUUACCAGGUGUGUGUUGCCAGUAAUGGUUGAAGAUAUGCCAAACAAAUUGUGCCUCUCUAUACAGACAGAUUUCAGGUCUCAAUUUCGACUUCAAAGGUCAACAUAUCACUGAUAUCAGGAAUUCUGUACAACUGUGGAACCAUGUAUGGUACGUGACCGCACAAUGUUGGUUGGCAAAAGGAUAUUGGAAUAAGCAAAGGGACUCAACAUUACACAGUCAUUUCAACAUGUAGAGUCUUGUCAGCAAUGAUGGAGCAGUACUUCAGAUUUCCAGAAUCUCGUCAUGAGCUGAAGAUCAUUGCCUAUGAAUUUCCUGAAUGAUGUAGAAUGAUUGGACUGUUGAUGGAACCCACAGUGCAUGUCCUGCUUCAACAUCUGAGCAUAGGUCCUUGUUUAUCAGCAGUUUAGUUCUUCAAGCAGUCUGUGACAGUUACUUGAAAUGUUUGGACAUAUGACCUGGAUGGCCAAGUUCUGUGCAUGAUGCCCAUUUAAAUAGGAACGGCCCAGUGGCGCAUUAAAUGGACAUUUUUCGAAUGUUCUCAAGGAUUCAGCUUACCGCCUGACAAGAAAUCUUGCUUUUUGUUCAGUAUCGAGGCCAUGGACAUUUGUAUCAUUUGCAAAAGAUACUGCGAUAUUUGUGCCUUUGUUCAUGCUUUAUAGUUGAUUAACAAUUGGAAGCCAUAACCUGUUUUUAAGAUGGUGUUAGUGGGACAAUGAAUUUUGUAAAGAUUUAAAGACUGGAAAAGAUAAUUAAAAGUCAAAAGAGUUCUGCUAUUGUUAAGCAUGCUUUAUUGAUUUGUAAUGUUAGAAAGAUAGCAUUAUUAACAGAAUAAAAUGUCCAUAAUUUGAA